rnacentral:lncRNA from 1 species
GCCGUGCUGUCUUCAGCUUUGAGAGAGGAAGAAAGACUCUGUUUCCCCUCUCUGCCUUGCUCUCACCCACCCCAUGACUUUCAAGGUUCCCAUCUCUGGAGUGGAAGUGGUUCACAGUCAAAGAAAACAGUUGCAGUGAAAGACAAGAAGGGCAUUGUUUCUUGGUGUUUAGAAACUGGAGCUAUAACCCAGAACUGUUCAUCUAGGGCAAAAAGAGCCAAGCAGGAGCAUGUUUCAGAGGAUGGGCUGACCUCUGUGGUUGCAGUUAUUCCAGAAGAAGAGGAUGGAUUAGGAUUGGUGCUACGGCUCUGAUGUAGCUGAAAGAUGGAAAAAAAAAGCCUCAAAGACAUGUGGUUUUACAUCUGAGGGGGCCCAGAGCCGAACUUGAUCUUUCCAAAGUCAACAGUCAGUUGGCUCCACGUUCACCUUUUCUGACAGUAGCAGAGAAAUAAUUUAAGUGUUUCAAGAAAAAUGACCAUUCUGGGCCAAAUACAUCUCUCUUUUGUGACUCCAUUAUUUCAAAAGCAGAGGCCCUGAGAACCUGAGAACCAGCAAUAUGGAGAAGAUGAAAGAAAGAGCAAGGAUGGCAGCUCCAGGAGGAAUGGUAUGUGGUGUCUUACUGCCUGAGAUCUGCUUUGAGGAGAUGAAAGGAGGUCCUGAUAUUUUGGGCAAGGACUAGCCAGACCCCAGCUACUCCUACAAGCUGGGGCCACCAAGGUGGUUGGUGUUCCUUUCCGUAUUCUCUGAGGAGAUUUCCCCAAUCCAAGGCUUACAUCUAAUCUGCUUUAUGGAUCACCAACAGGAAGAAUGAAAACUGUAUUUCAGAAGAUGAUAAGGUCCCAUUUGUUCAGCAGCCACCAUUAAGAAUUUUCCAAAGCGUUUUAAGGGCCCACAAACUCUCCAAAUAUUGUUCUUCGGAAGAGGGAGUAUUUGAUUCACAUUUGUGUCGACCUCAGAAAUGUGAGGGCCCUUUCCUUUUUGCAAAGGAAGCUUUUUUAUACCAAGAUUGACCCCACAGAGAGAGCAAUUCAGGCCAUAAACAUGGGCAAUUUAAAUUAGUCUUUCGGGUGAAAAUCUUUCUGUAUUCCAAGUUACUCAAAAUAUUACCUCAAUGUAACCUGAACCAUUGGGAGUAGCCAGACUUAAACUGGUGUUAUGUUUUCAGUAGUAAAGACUGAUAACUUGAUAGUUCCCUGGGGUGGGAUGCUUAUGGUGAAAGUCCAAAGUUGACAUUGCACGGUAUUUUCCUGCAAAUCCCCAGGGCUGGAUUACAGAUGAGAUAAGUAAAGAUGUAUAGAGGGCUCCAAUACAA